rnacentral:rRNA from 1 species
GGGUGUGAUAUUACCAGCAUUAAUGCACCGGAUCCCAUCAGAACUCCGUAGUUAAGCGUGCUUGGGCUAGAGUAGUACUGGGAUGGGUGACCUCCCGGGAAGUCCUAGUGUUGCACCCU